rnacentral:rRNA from 1 species
AUGGCUGAGAUGGUAAAGUCGGUCAUUGUUGGGGAAGCAGUUAGCCGGAUUAUUUCUGGUAUUGCCCCCACCAGCAAAGACAAGGACAAAACAGAUGAAGAAGCAUCAGGAGGUGGUGGGCUAGAGAGGCUAGAGAUGGCGCGCAUCAAAAUGCAACUUUCUCGGGAAGAAGACCAGGCGGAGCAGGUGGUAAGGAAAUCCUUAUUUCCUAGACGGAUGGCUCAUGCGACCAAGGUGUUCAUCUCCUCUUUUGUUGGCCGUGACAAUGAUCAUUGCUCUGCGGGGAGUGCCACCGCCGCUGUUGUUCGAAGAUUCGAGAGGCUUGUGGACGGUGCUGAUGAAUCUAUCAGGUCAGUACCAAUACUUCCGCAUAGGGCCAAUCAAUUUCCAGGAGCGUGGGUUGGAGGCCUUUCUAUCCUUCAUUGUCACACCUCACUCUCCGUGUACAAAAUCCUGCCAGGAUCAACCGUAUUUGCUGGUCAUGACGACAAUUCAUCUUUGAAGAAUUCCCAACCAUUGAAGCUUGGAAUACUACUCAUGCCUCAUGCUUCUUUGGAGGAACCUAAGUCUGUUGGUUCCACAGUAGAAGUGGUCGAUACAGAGAAUCGACACCACCUCACACAUGUAAAUGUUCAUCUGGACCAACUCGACGAGAUGAUGAUGCCCAAGGUGAUAGACUAUCUUCAUCUUAAUGCCGAGGCUAUGUCAUACCAGUGGACUGACUACCACAACUGUGUCGCCGCCAUGGUGUCAUGGGGAGAUGGGUUCGGUUCUUCUAAAGGGUUCGGCGGUGACUCGUUGGGUAGGGAUGAAUUACUUGUGAAUUUUGUGGAAUGGGUUGAUUUGGAGUUGGCAGAAUCACUAAAGGACAUCAUUGUCAAAGCUUUUGAAAAUAAAGUGGUGAAGGAACAACUGAAAUUUGCCCCAAAGGCCCAAAAUGAACAUGCUUUUAUUCAGGUGAAAGCAGAAUUGGAGCUAAAGAAGUUUCUUGAUGGGACAAUUAUAAAUUCUCACAAAGUGAUGAGAAUGAAAUUAUAA